CCUACGGGAGGCAGCAGUGGGGAAUAUUGCACAAUGGGCGAAAGCCUGAUGCAGCAACGCCGCGUGAGUGAUGACGGCCUUCGGGUUGUAAAACUCUUUGAUUAGGGACGAUAAUGACGGUACCUAAAGAACAAGCCACGGCUAACUACGUGCCAGCAGCCGCGGUAAU
rnacentral:misc_RNA from 1 species